AUACGGAGGGUGCAAGCGUUAUCCGGAUUUAUUGGGUUUAAAGGGUUCGUAGGCGGAUCAAUAAGUCAGUGGUGAAAGCCUGUGGCUCAACCAUAGAACUGCCAUUGAUACUGUUGAUCUUGAGUACACUUGAAGUGGGCGGAAUGCGUCAUGUAGCGGUGAAAUGCAUAGAUAUGACGCAGAACACCGAUUGCGAAGGCAGCUCACUAAAUUGUAACUGACGCUGAGGAACGAAAGCGUGGGGAGCGAACAGGAUUAGAAACCCUUGUAGUCC
rnacentral:rRNA from 1 species